rnacentral:rRNA from 1 species
UACAGAGGGGGCUAGCGUUGUUCGGAAUUACUGGGCGUAAAGCGCACGUAGGCGGCUUUGUAAGUUAGAGGUGAAAGCCCAGGGCUUAACCCUGGAAUUGCCUUUAAGACUGCAUCGCUAGAAUUGUGGAGAGGUAAGUGGAAUUCCGAGUGUAGAGGUGAAAUUCGUAGAUAUUCGGAAGAACACCAGUGGCGAAGGCGACUCGCUGGACAAGUAUUGACGCUGAGGUGCGAAAGCGUGGGGAGCAAACAGG